GAUUAUGUCAAAUUCCGCGAUAUUCCGCAUUAAAAGUAGAUUCCGUUUUAUUUGGCUAAUUCCGCGAUUCCGUCCACGAUUCCAUGAUCGCAGAAAUUAUAGGACCCUACAUUGUUAACAUUA